UAACGAGAUUCUCUCAACAAACACAACAUUCCAUUGACCCCAUUUCGCUUCUCUGACUCACCUCUCUGAGUUUUAAAGAGAGAAAAAACCCAAAGAGAGAGAGAGGGUUUAGAGAGAGAGAGAAAGGGAGAGAGUUUAACAUAGAGGUUAAAUUCAAACGGAAAACUGUCAGCCGGUUGAUAUGAUCUUAAACUACUCUUGAGAAGCCCAGCUUUGAUGCCAUCCCGUAAAAUGGUGGCUAGAUCAACUACAACUUGCAAAAGACAUGGGAGGUUCCCCCGUGUGUCUCGGAAAUCAAAUAAAAUAUCUAAAAGACCAUGUUCCAUGGUCAGAAUAACUGAUGAAAUGAGAAAUUUAGAUAUAUCAAGCCAAACAUCUCACAAUGGUGGUUAUUUCCUAAAUAAAGAAUUUUCCGAGGAGCGUGGCAAUGAGGAAUACCAAAUGUCAUCUGAUGUAGAUUCAGUUUUGGGGCAGGGCUGUCUCUUAUUCAGCGGUUGUUCAGUUUCAGUAGUAGAAAGGGAUUCUUUUCUGGUUUCUGUUUCUGCAAGUUCAGAUUCAGAUACCGCGUUGUCUUAUUUUAAUAGGCCUGAUGAUGCCCUCUAUAACCUAUUUGAAGAAGUUAAUCAGUUGCAAAUCACCACCCCACCUCAAGUGGAUAACAACAACUUUCCCAAUUUCCAAACACCUGAUAUGUUAUUAGACUCCUAUAUGGAUGAAGCAUGUCUCAAUGGGUUUCCCAGUGACGGGACCAAUCUAUUUGAUGAUUCUAUCGACUAUAGUUCCCUUUUUGAUCUCGAAUAUGAUGGGCCAAAUUUGUUGUACGAUCUUCCUGCCCUUGAGAACACCAUAGAACCAGCAAAUUUUCAUUAUGUAGAAUCCUCUGAAGAGUUUCAGCCGGCACCUGAUUCUUCAUGGUUUGAUUUCAUUUGUCAUCAGGCCAAGCCACUUACUGAAGAACUUCAUGCCAGGUCCUCUCAGCUUGAUUCUGAAAGAGUAGAAUCAAUUGAUCAUGAGACAUUCAUUAAAAACUUUUUGGAGUUAUCAGACGAAUGUAACUCGUUGCCUGCACUAGUAAGCAAAGAGACAAGCAAAAGGAAGGAUGUUACCCUUGUUCUUGAUUUGGACGAAACACUGAUCCACUCUACGAUGACUCGAUAUGAUAGUGGUGCUGACUUCACAAUUCAAGUUUUACUUGACAAGGAGUACACCGUCUAUGUGCGAAAAAGGCCCUUCCUCCGCGAGUUUUUGGAGAGAGUAUCAGAAAUGUUUGAGAUCAUCAUUUUCACUGCUAGUAAAAAGAUCUAUGCUGAAAAGUUGCUAGAUGUUCUUGAUCCUGACAAAAAGUUUUUUUCUCGACGAGAAUACCGAGAUUCGUGUAUCUAUGAAGAUGGUACCUACACCAAAGAUUUGACAGUUCUUGGAAUUGACCUAGCAAAAGUAGCCAUAGUAGACAACUCUCCUCAGAAAUUAUAAAAAGAAAAAAUCCAGAAAGAGAAGGGGCAUCAGUGGAAAAAUCAAUAUAGUGGCAUGUCUUCCUCUCUUCUUUGCACAUAAGAGAAGAUUGCAAAAAGUUCCCACACUAUUUGAAUCUCUCUCUCUCUCUCCUAUUUCUCUGCAUACCAAACAGAAGAGGUUUUCAGGUUGCAAGUUAACAAUGGGAUUCCUAUUGAAAGUUGGUUUGAUGAUCCAUCUGAUUCUGCCCUGAUGUCUUUACUUCCCUUUCUGGAGAAACUGGUUGAUGUCGACGAUGUCCGCCCCAUAAUUGCAGAGAAAUUUGGGAACAAGAAGGAUUAGUUUUGCAUUUCAACUCAUUGGCAUAUAUUCUGGACCCCUUUGCCUUUCAUAGAAACAGUAGAUUGCCCUAAUUUUAGGAUAUUGCAACAGUCAGAAAUAACCCUUCCUAGUUAGGUGUUGUCCCUCCAACCCCCCAACCCCUUCACAUUUUAAGUUUUGACUCUAGUUAGUUUUCAAAAACUAGCUAUGAUUCUGGUGAUAGCUUGAUAGUAUUUUUAAAAAUUGUACAGGAAUAGUACAAUAAUUUGAUUUUCAAGUUUUGUAUUUUGAUUUUGAUUUUUAAAGUCACUAUAGAGGUUGUGAUAUUGGUAAAGUUUAUAAUUUAUAAAUGUCAAUGCUGUUUAUACAUGCCGUUA